UACGAAGGGGGCUAGCGUUGCUCGGAAUCACUGGGCGUAAAGCGCACGUAGGCGGCUUUUUAAGUCAGAGGUGAAAUCCUGGAGCUCAACUCCAGAACUGCCUUUGAUACUGGAGAGCUUGAGUCCGGGAGAGGUGAGUGGAACUGCGAGUGUAGAGGUGAAAUUCGUAGAUAUUCGCAAGAACACCAGUGGCGAAGGCGGCUCACUGGCCCGGUACUGACGCUGAGGUUCGAAAGCGUGGGGAGCAAACAGG
rnacentral:rRNA from 1 species